UUUCAACUAUUUGAUAUUUACAGAGUUGGAAUAGGUGGUCGCCAACAUCACUCUCCCCAGGAGGGUUGAAGCAGGCUGCUGUUAACCAGAAGCUUCCCAGGUUGGACUGAUAUCGACUACCACUACACAGGGGAUGUCUUUCUCCUCCCCAACCGGACCCCAAUAGAGCUCAGCUUUGGAAGCUGGGAUUCCCACGGUAUUCGCUCUCCCAUCUCCCUGCCAAGAUUCCCAGGUCCUCUGGAGAGCCGGACCGCAUUAUGCCAUUGACUCUGGACCGAUGGAUAUACCUUUUGCUGACCCCGCAUCAUAAGUGUGCGAAGUUCCUAGCAGGAUUUAUUAAGUCCCCGAGCAUCUAGAACUGUAGCCGCGCCCGUGGAGAAACCUAGACCCGAAAUUACAAAGGAUCCAAGAUUCUGGGAAGUUUCUCCCAGUUCUUAAAGCACCCUCCCUUACUUCCUUAGCUAUUCACUUCCCCCCCAGGGUUGGGAGGCGGGGGAAAAAGCAGCAGUUUAGGUUCCUAAUUUACAAAAACUGCUGAAAGUGAAUUCUUAUUUAGCCCAGACAAUUCGUAGUGUGGCAGGUUGUUAUUGUCGGUUUGCUUUUUACCUUGGUAACUGUCUUAUCACGCCCACACACCCACACUCCCGCCCACUUGCAAAGUAGAGGCAGGUAAAUAAAAGGUGUGUCUGCUUACUAGAAUAGACAGAGAUUCAGAUCUCUAGGUUGCUUAAGAUAUGCAAAGUUAAUUCGGGACACCUAAAACCUGGAAUAACCAAACACUAAAAUGAAUAAAAGAGAAAGCUGGAGAAGGAGGCAGGAAGGAAUUCCAUUUUGGAAGAGAAGAAAACAUAGUUGCUGCAAGUAUAAAAUGAAGGUUAGAGCCCAAAGCAAGUAGUUCCCAGAUCAGCUAUCUAAGUAAGAGAGGAUGUGGACACAGUGCUGAUGGACUUGGAAAAUAAGGACCGAGGUUCAAAACUUACCUCCACCACUCACUGGGUGAGUAACUUUAGGCAUCACUUUAUUCUACAGGUCUCAUCUCAGUUUCUUCAUUUCUAUAAAAUGCUUAUUGCCUAUAAAAGGAGGUGAUUGGACCAAGGACAUUUCCAGCCCUAAAGCCUAUGACACCAUGAGUUGAGAGAAUGUAGCAUCAACGAUGGUCUAGGGAGUUCAGGGAAAGCUUCAUAAGAGAAAGAUUUCAUUGAUGUAGAGAACCAUGACUCUAUUUCCAAUCCUGUUUGACAACAUGACACACAAUUUGGGGACCUGUCUGAGUCACCAAGGAGAUCUGAUGAUUUCACUGGCUUUUCCCUGCAACUGGCUCAUCGGGGAAAUAGGUCAGCAUCUCCCCUCAUAGAGUCUUUUGAGAAUUCACUUGUUAGUCAUCAGACACUUCUGGAUAUUCUGGUCUAGUGGAUAGAGGGGAUCUGGAAUCCUUUCCUGGAUGCUUAUUAGCUGUGUGACCCUGACCACUAGUAAUAGUAAUAAUCAUAUAAUCUCUCUGUGCCUCAGUUGCCUGAUCUGUAAAAUAAGAAUAAUAAUGGCUCUAAUAUUUGCUUCACUGGCUUAUUGUAAGGAUGAAAUAAGAUAAUAGAUAGAAAAUACUUUUUAAAUCUUAAGGCACCAUAUAAAUGUGAGUUAUUAUUAUGUUACUAGUAUAUUUGAACUCAUAACAAAUUUUAGAGAGGAAAGCUAAUUGUAAGGACAAACUGGUUACACACAUUUUAAAGCUAGAUGCCCUUCAUUAUAUUAAUGAGUGUCCCUAAAGUCAUAUCAGACAGCUAGAUGGCUCAGUGGAUAACACUGGGCUUGGAAUCAGGAAGAUUCUUCUUUCUGAGUUUAAAUCUACCUUCAGACACUUACUGGUUGAGCAAGUCACUUAACACUAUCUGCUUUAGUUUUCUCACCUGUAAAAUGAGCUAAAAAAGGAAAUGGCAAAUCAGUAUCUUUGCCAUGAAAACUCCAAAUGGGGGUCACAAAGAGUUAAACAAGACAAAAAAAAAAAAACAAUAACAACAACUGAACAACAACAUCAAUAUGCAGUAAGAGUUUUUAACGAUAUAUCAGGAUAUCUAAAAAGGCAACAAUGCAUAAUUGAAGCUCCUUUUGGCCUGAGAUAAUUUCAAUUUUGUUUUUGUUUCUCCAUUGCCCAGCUUCUAUUAUUUCCCGCCCCCCUUCCUGUUCCUACUACUCUUAUCAUCAAAGGCUCUUAUCAUCUCUCACCUAGGUGACAGUAAUAGCCUCCUAACUGUUUUCUCUUGCUUCUCUCCAGCUUGUCCCCUUUUCAAAUGAUCCUUCAAAGAGCUGCCAAAAUUAUCUUUCUCUUAGGCUCUGAACAUAUCACUCUUAUGGUCAAAUACCUUCAAUGGCUACACAUUGUCUGAAGGAUAAAGAACAAGCUCCUUAUCCCUGUACUCAAGGUUCCAAAAUCUGGUUCCAAUCUAU